rnacentral:rRNA from 1 species
CCUACGGGUGGCAGCAGUGGGGAAUAUUGGACAAUGGGCGAAAGCCUGAUCCAGCCAUGCCGCGUGUGUGAAGAAGGCCUUCGGGUUGUAAAGCACUUUCAGUGGGGAAGAAAGCCUUGGGGCUAAUACCCUCGAGGAAGGACAUCACCCACAGAAGAAGCACCGGCUAACUCCGUGCCAGCAGCCGCGGUAAUACGGAGGGUGCGAGCGUUAAUCGGAAUUACUGGGCGUAAAGCGCGCGUAGGCGGUCUGAUAAGCCGGUUGUGAAAGCCCCGGGCUCAACCUGGGAACGGCAUCCGGAACUGUCAGGCUAGAGUGCAGGAGAGGAAGGUAGAAUUCCCGGUGUAGCGGUGAAAUGCGUAGAGAUCGGGAGGAAUACCAGUGGCGAAGGCGGCCUUCUGGACUGACACUGACGCUGAGGUGCGAAAGCGUGGGUAGCAAACAGGAUUAGAUCCCCUAGUAGUC